AAUAUAUUACUUGUUGUGUACACUUGCAUAUUGACACCCAUAUCAAUAGAAAAAAUCCAACAAUGUCACUCCUAGAAUUCUAAGACUUUACAAUGAUUCUACUCAAACACUACGAAUAACUAACACAAUUUUUACCAUUCACAUAUCAAAAAAUCAAAACACAGUAAAAUAAAAAAAUCCCAAAAUCGUGUAUUAGUUGAAUAAAAAUAAAAGAAGUUAGUAAACCUACCUAAAUUCAACAAAAAGAACCAAACUAAUUUCUUACUAAAUUCACAUAUAAGUAGAGAAUAUGUAGUAAUUAUUAAUUAUUUACCUAAUGCUCACCUUACUCAAUCACCAUGCCCAGAUCUAUCACCGCUUUACCCAAGCGGUAGUUCUGUUUCUUCUUCUUUAAACAACCCCCAUCAAUGCGCUUUAACUUUGACCAAGGCAUCUGUCCACGAUCUUGGGGCCAACUUACACCCCUCAAUGAUGAGCAAGAUUGGCGUUAGGUUAAAAAGUGGCGAGAAUUUCGCGAUCAUGUGAGAUUAUGUUGGAUUGUAAUAGAAAAAGUUAGGUUAGGGAUUGAAAAAAGGUGAGAUUGAGAGGGAAAACUCGAGUUAGAUAGUAAGAAGUUGUGCUGGAUUGUAAGAGAAAGAUGAGAGAGAAGUGGCUGAGAGAAGAGUUACAGUUGAUUAGACGACAUAGUUAGG
rnacentral:lncRNA from 1 species